rnacentral:rRNA from 1 species
UCUAACAUGUGUGCAAGUGUUAGGGAUCAAGUCCCAAGCGCGAAAUUAACGUAAAGUGCUGAGAUAGGAAGCUUCGGCUGCACCAUCGACCGACCAUGAUCCUUCGAGUGAAAGGUUUGAGUGUGAGCAUACAUGUUGGGACCCGAAAGAUGGUGAACUAUGCUUGAGUAGGACGAAGCCAGGGGAAACUCUGGUGGAGGUCCGUAGCGAUUCUAACGUGCAAAUUGAUCGUCGAACUUGAGUAUAGGGGCGAAAGACUAAUCGAACCAUCUAGUAGCUGGUUCCUCCCGAAAUUUCCCUUAGGAUAGCUGCAACCGAACAGUUUUAUCAGGUAAAGCGAAUGAUUAGAGGACUCAGGAAUGAAAUGUUCUUGACCUAUUCUCAAACUUUAAAUGGGUAAGAGCCCCAAGUUGCUUAAUUGAACUUGGCGGUCGAAUAACAGUUGCUAGUGGGCCAAUCUGGGUAAGCUAGAUUGGCGAUGCGGGAUGCUCCGAACGUUAAGUUAAAGUGCCAAAGUAUCCGCUAACCUAGAUCCCACAAAAGGUGUUGGUUCAUCUAG